rnacentral:rRNA from 1 species
AGGGAAUAGAUACCCCGGUAGUCCACGCCCUAAACGAUGUCAACUAGUUGUUGGGGGAGUAAAAUCCCUUAGUAACGCAGCUAAACGCGUGAAAGUUGACCGCCUGGGGAGUACGGUCGCAAGAUUAAAACUCAAAGGAAUUGACGGGGCCCGCACAAGCGGUGGAUUAUGUGGAUUAAUUCGAUGCAACGCGAAAAACCUUACCUGGCCUUGACAUGCCACUAACGAAGCAGAGAUGCAUUAGGUGCCCGAAAGGGAAAGUGGACACAGGUGCUGCAUGGCUGUCGUCAGCUCGUGUCGUGAGAUGUUAGGUUAAGUCCCGCAACGAGCGCAACCCUUGCCAAUAAUUGCCAUCAUUCAGUUGGGCACUUUAUUGGGACUGCCGGUGACAAACCGGAGGAAGGUGGGGAUGACGUCAAGUCCUCAUGGCCCUUAUGGCCAGGGCUUCACACGUAAUACAAUGGUCGGUACAGAGGGUUGCCAACCCGCGAGGGGGUAGCCAAUCCCAGAAAGCCGAUCGUAGUCCGGAUUGUAGUCUGCAACUCGACUA